ensembl:lncRNA
UGUAGGUCGCAGAUGUGGCUCAGAUCUGGUGUUGCUGUGGCUCUGGCGUAGGCCGGCAGCUACAACUCUGAUUUGACCCCUAGCCUGGGAACCUCCAUAUGCCUCAGGUGCGGCCCUAAAAAGACAAAAAAAAUUUUUUUACCAGGGCGAUAGCACUUUUUUAUGGCCACACCCAUGGCACACAGAAGUUCAUGGGCCAGAGAUUGAAUCCCAGCCACAGCUGCGACCUCAGCAACACCAGAUCCUCNCUACUACAGUUCACGGCAAUGGCAGAUCCUUUAAUCCACUGACCGAGGCCAGGGAUUGAACCCACAUCCUCAUGAUACUAGUUGGGUUCUUAACCUGCUGAGUCACAGUGGGAAGUCUUAUUUUUACUUUUAAUGUGGCCUCUAGAAAAUUUUAAAUUUCACAUGAGGCCCACUACCAUUGGACAGUGCUGCCCUGCAGAAUUUUAACCACUAUUACAUCUACUGGCAAGUUGAGUUCAACAUUCUAGAUUGUAUGCAUGAAUGUAUAUACAUGUGCAUGUCUAAAUUCUCCUUUGAACCAAACCAACAUCUUCUAGAUUCCCUUAUUAGUUAAUGUAUUGAAUAGAAGUCUUUGACAUACAUCAUUUUAUAUUUAUAUGAAAAUCACAGUUUUAACAUUUAUAUACUUUAGUAGCCAUUUCUACAGAGUUGCUCCAGCAGGCCCAUUCAAUUCUGUUUUCCCAGCCCUUCCAGUGAUUUUGUAAGCAUCUAAUUCCAUAUAUUCAAUUCCACUGUAAAAUAGCUGAGGUGAUUUUCACUAUGAGCUACUGUACCCUGACUGAUACAAUAGCGAAAAAAUAUUGAGUGGUUAUUAUUCUCCAGAGAUUGUGUUAAACACUCUACACAGAUUUUCUGUUUUAAUCUUCCUAACAGCUCUCUAAGGCAGGAUUCAUACUCUCCUUUUCACAGACGAGGCACUGAGAGUUUAAGAAACUUGCCCAAGAUGACUAGUUAGGAAAUGGUCAUAUCCAAGCAGAAUGAUCCCAAAGUCGACUCCAUUACCACUGUGCUGCCAGUAUCUAUUUUCUUUUUUACUCAAUGAAACAGAAAGAGCGUAUCUGUCCCUUUGCUGACCUGGAAACUCUGGUGUGGCUGAGAAGGGUAGAGGUUUCAGUCCUGACUUCUCUUCUUCUGCCUUCUCUGCGCCCAGGUCCUUGAUUCAGCAGCUGCUUCUCAGAAUCCUAAGCAUAGCUCAACCCUGGGUCACUCUUGCAGACCCUCCCCAAAAUGAGGAGGUUGAACGACGUGCCAUUUCCCAUUGCAGCUGAGAAGUAGCUACACAAAGACCAAAAGGUUCUACUAAGAAAGUUGCAUGGACGUGUGUGACUGACUUGGAGGUCACAGAGCUUGCUAAACAGGCUAUCCACCAUCUUCUGCAAAGACAGAGAACAAUUACAAUGUAAUAACUGCUUUUAAAGGCCUACUGUAUGUAGGAUAUUUCAUUAGGCAAUUUAUGUACAUUCUCUUUAAUCCUUUCAAUAACUCAGAAGUAAUAUUAUCCUAUUUUAAAGAUAAGGAAUCUGGUCUUGGCUUAAUGAUGGAUGUCCUGGGAUUCCACUGAUAAUCACUAAACUCUUUAUUAAUCAUGGGCCAUAUACCUGACCGAAACUUUAGACUCUAUAUCAAAAUACCUUUAAAAUGCCCAUAUUCAUAAUAAAGAAGUAUAUGGUAUUAUUUGUCCACAUGUAACUGAAUAAGGAAAGAAAAGAGGAUAGCAAAAAUACUAUAUGCUAUUAUAAUAAUAUGCUAUUAUUAGUGCUAGUUCGAAAGCUUGAAAUGAGCAGAUAACUCGAUAUUUUCCAGCAUGCACCAUGUGAGCUUUUAAUUCAUUAGCUGUCUUUUCCUGCUGUCUGCUUUCUUGCUAUGGUUUAUAUUUUAUGCUGGUGCUGUAGAGAUAUGGGAAAGGAUUAUGCUGCCCCACUUCAGUCCCAGGAAAUAGAACUGCUAUGAAUUAUUAAUAGUAUUGGCUUUCUAGUGCUUUUAUUUCACCUCUUUGUUUCAGAGAAGGAUAUUAGUUAAAUGGGAUUUUUUUUUUCACCACCCCAGGAGGUUACUCUAUUUUGUCAGAAACACUGACUUGAGUUAUAGAAAAGACAGUCCUAUGUUGAUUUCCACCUCUACAUGUGAUGGAUUUUCCAUCCAUUCCACUCCUCUUAUAUUCUUGCUUAGCAUGGAUUAAUAGGGAAGUUUUCAAACUGUGCUCUUCAGAGCCUUGGGAUUCCCCAGUGGUGCUGAAAGAAAAGCCUGAGGCAGCCACGGCAGUGGGGGGGGGCACCCCCCCCGACCCCAACCUUCCCUAGCUCAGAGAAGCAUUCCACUCCUGCUAUAGGCAUUAAACUCUUGUUCAAGAUUAUGUUGGAAGAAAGGCCUCUUUUCUUUAAGAAUAAGCUUAAAAAUAUACCAACAAAUCCAAUAAAUAGUAGGUGUCUGUACAACUUUGGGAUGCUAAGAAAAAUGUCUAAGGAUUUGUAUUUGAUAUACAUACACAACUAUCCAUGCGCUAAACCUGACUGAGUCCAUGUGACUGGGUUUGUAGGUUGGAUUUGGCCCUCCUGUGGUGCUGUGAUAGUCAUCUGAACUCAGAGAAGUUGGUUAUCAUGCUUAUUUAUAUAAUGAGUAAACUCAAAAUCACAAGAAAUAUCAUCUGGGGGCUGGCAAAAAUAAAUGGAUAGAUUUCAGGAAUAAACUUUGUUCACAUGCUUAUAUUUAAGUUAUUAGGUCAGAGAUCCAUAGGCAUCCAACCUUCUUUAAGAGAUUGAAUAUUGUCGUUAUUUGAGUUAUUUCCCAGGAGAUUACUAUGAUCAAAAUAUUUACUCACUUUGAAUAAUAAGAGCAACUAUUUCUUCACCUUUCAAAGAAAAAAAAAUUUAAAUGGGAGGGUUUUGUUUUGUGUGAGAUUAAAAAAAAAAAUCUCAGAGUUAACAGGUCAUACUCAGGGUUUCUUUCUGUGUGUAGACUGUGUAUGACCCUAGAAAUGCUCUUUCUCUCGUGCAUGGAAGCAGGUGGGUGACAAAUACCCAAUUGUCAGUAAAUAUUUAUCAAGUGCCCCCUGUCACCAGGCACCAGGCUAGAUGUUGGGGAUAUAAUAGUGUGGAAGAUUCUGACCCUGCCUCCUUAGAGUUUGGAUUCAAAAUCGGAGGAGGUAUGAAGUGAACACAUGAACAGUCAUAUAAGCACAGCAAUUCUAGAAUGUGGGAAUUCCCAUGAUGCAAACAGUAGUGGGGGAGCAGGGCCCUUUUCAGGUCGGGGCAGUCAAAAAAGGGUCUCUAGGAGGGCAAAAACCCAAGUGCAUUUUAGAAGGCCACAGCUGGCCUCUUUGCUGGCUGCCAAGGCCAUAAAGGUGUGGUACUUACUGUACUUGACAGCUAAAUGUGUGCCAUCUGCACCCACGAAUUAGAAUGCUUUGGAAACCCUGAGGGGACUGAUAGUUGGAGACUCUCUGAAUAGGAAGAGAAAAACACAGCACAGUUAAUUUAUUAAACGACUAGAUUUUCCCUUGGUCAUUUAACAUUUAUCAGCCCUGUGUUUGAUUCUUUUUAAUGCAAAGAUGGCCUGCAGAAUACUUAAAAGUAAUAUGUGCAGGAUCAUUGUCCUUUGCCAUUCCAUAAAACAUUGUUUUCACAACUGUGUGUGAUCCUCAUCAACCAUGUAAGAAAUGCAUCCAUAAUGAAAUGUCUUCUAUUACUUCCCCAUAAUUGUCAUUAUAAUUGCAAACAUGAUUUUGAUAAGAGAAUUAAACUUGACAAAAAUUAGUUUCAUUUUCAAAAAUUUCUACAGAAGGCAACUAGAGUGAAGUGAGAACAUGGUAAUCAAGUAACACGACUUCCGUUGGUAGAAUUUUCCAGUUUACAUUCUUAUUCUUUGAUUUUUAUUUGUUGAACCUUCUUAUUUUUUUUUUUGUUUGCUUUUUAAAGCCUACCAGUGGAUCAUAUUUCUUAUAUAAAAAUAUCAGAAAGAUAUAUGCACACAAACCAAAUUCAGAUUUACAGCAGAAAUAAUAGCUUUCAGUCUCGUUCGAGCAAAUAUAAUUCACCCAUCCAGGCAGCCACCCAUUCAGUAUUUAUUGAGUCUACAAAACUAAUAGGUAAAAUAUGCUGAAGUUAGAGCGUGUAUUAGUGUAUUGUGAUCCUACUGGCCCCUUGGCUGGGCACACAUUGUUCAUGAUUCAGUCUUCCUCUGCACAGUUGCUGUAGCAAUUCUCUAAAAGGCAUGUAAGUAGCCAAAAUGUGGCUAGGAAGGCUAAAAUAAAGAGCAAUUUGAAAUUAUCUGGUCAAUAUGAUAAAUACUUACAGAAUAAAUUCUGGAAAAACACAUGUGGUGUUUUACCUAGGCACCCCAAUGAAAAGAAAAAAACUGUUGCAUCAUCAAGAAGAUUCAGUAAGGCAUCUGAUUAUAAUUUGAGAGAUGACUAAUUUCCCCAAAAACAUAAUGAUGAAAAAGCCUCCUGUUCACAACAGCAAGAAAAACAGACCAUACCUAAGUAUAAGCUUAUCAAGAAAUAUACAGGACCUGAAUUUUAAGCAAAUAACAACAUUUUAAUGAGUAACAUAAAGACUUGAACAAAAGCAGACAAAAUUGUGCUCUUGAUAAGAUUCAAUGUUGAUAGAAUGUCGGUUCUCCCCAAAUUAUUUUGAUUUAAAAGAGGAUUUGAAGGGAGCGAAUAAAGUUUUACUAAAAUCUAAUAGACUGUCUGAGCCAUAGCCAUUUAGAAAUAGAAGAAUAAUGAGGUAGGGGGUAUAGGGACUACUGGACAUUAAAAUAUAUUUUAAUGUUAUGAUUAUCUUUGGUUAAUACCUAAACUGGUACCAAACUAUCAAUGAAGCCCAUUAGAAUAUCUAGGAUAUAAAUUCAGACAUAUACACAGAUUCAGUAUGUGAUAAUAGUUGUGCUGAGGAAAAUGUCUAAGCUUUCAAAAGUAAGACACCUUUUUCAAAUACUGCUAUCACCUCAUUCCAGAUAGAUUAAAGAUUUAAAUAUAAAGGAUAAACCCAUACUUUGAGUUAAGGAUGUUACAUUUUGAACAUGUGCAUUUACCUCUGUUCCUUCUUAAAUCCCAUUUAAGUAUGAAUAAAGUGCAUUUUUAAAGUUUUAAACACCUACAAGAAUAAAGAAUGGGUGAGAGAACUAUAGCAACAAAACUUUGGAAAUUAGAAAGCAGACUAGUUAGCAGUAACACAGACCUGAGUUAUAAACCUAUAGUGGGAGGGAGCAGAGAAAUGACACAUUUUACACUGUGGGAGCCUCUCAAGGCACAGGCCUAUGGAAGUGGGCAGAGAGGUGGGGUUAAAAAUAGGAGAAGUAAUUAAAAAUCUGUUUAAUAAGCAGUAACCCCCACUCCACACUGGGGAACAGCUGCCCCACCCGCUCAAAUGGAAACUGGUAUUUCAGCUCCAGAGAGGGUCUUAAAGGCAUAGUUUGAAAAAGAUGCAGGCAGUGCUGAAAACAGGUAUUCAGUAAAGGUUACAUGCUAAACAUUGAGGCCCUGACCUUCUUCCCAGAGUUCCAGAACAUGCAUGGCCAGAUUUAUACACCAGGCAGGAUAUUGGGCAUGUCUUCCCCUGGAGGAUCUGACUAGUUCAAUGGGCAAGUAUAAAUACCAAAAAUCAGGUUUAUUUAGCUCACCCUAGUAAACCUAAGAGCACAGCCCUGCAGCUGGCCAAAAGAAAAAUCCAUCCAGAUUAGGGGACAAGGUGUUCCCCGUCAGAGCUCCAGAACACAUCUGAUAGAAUUGCUAAAUUUGCCCCAUCAGACAGAUUGUCCCUAUGGAGGAACCUUUGGCCCAGGCAUCAAUCCAUGACUCCCUUGGUUCAGACUAUGCUUUCAGGACAGGCAGCUAAGGAAGCACACUACUUUACAAGCUGAGCUGCUUGCAGCCCCUGGACAUCUAGCCUGACCUCAAGGGCUUUCAAUGCUCCCCAGCAGUUCUUUCAUUUCAGUCAACAUUUGCUAACUCCUAAAGCGAAUUAUUAACAUCUUUCUCACUUGAAUCUCUCAACCUGACCUCACUUCACCUAAUUCUCAGGAAAUUGCCUUACCUGCUACUUUACUGAGAAAAUGGAAGCUGUCCCGUGAAUGCCUCCACAUAUCCAAAUUGCUCUCCAGUUUCUUUGACCCAUUGCCUUCUUUUCUGUGCAAAGAUGUGAUUUCUUUCUUUUCUAAACCUGAUGAGUCUACCUAUUUCAUGAUCCUGUUUUCUCCAUCCUAUGAAUGACCACUCCUUUGUCUUGCAGCUUCAGCUCAUUCCUUUUGCCCACCUAUUGAGAAUAUGUGUAGUGGACACUGUGAUGGGCCACUCAGAUCCCCCUUCAAGACUCAUUCCCCAGAUUCUGUGAGUGCUGUUGGAAUCCGUUCCCCUGCCUUCAGCCCUCUCAGGAAUUGCCUCAGUGGAAGGAAGUCACCUCACUAAAGGGGACAUUUUCUCUGGGCAGUUCAUCUCUAAUGACUGGUUCGUGUGGGGACAUAAAAACCCAGCCCUCUCUAGUCUCAGCUCAGGAAAACACCGAAGGGUCUUCCCAGCUUCGGAGCUUCUCGAAUAUUGGCCAAGAUCUUCACUGAAACUGCAUCUGUGCUCAGCUUCUCCCUCAGUCCAAUCCUGCCUCCCACAGGUGUUAAAGCCAAGAUGGCUCCCUACAGGGUAAUCUCUGGCUCAGAGUCUGUAUCCCAAUGUACUUUUUUAUGACAUUGUGUCUGUAAGUUAUGGACAUUUACAGAAUUGAUGGCUAGUAUGAAGUUGCCCUUCUAAGAAGCUAUACAAAUUUGCAUUUUUUUCAGCAAUGUAAAAAGGGGGCUCUUGGUGUUCCCAUUGUAGCUCAGUGGGUUAAGAACUGACAAUGUCUCUGUGAAGAUGCAGGUUCAAUCCCCAGCCUUGCUCAGGUUGCAGCAAGUUACAGUGUUGAAGAUGCAGCUUGGAUCCAGUGUUGCCAUGACUGUGGUGCCAGCUGCAGCUCUCAUUUGACCCCUGACCCAGAAACUUCCAGAUGCAGCAGGUGU